CUCUCUUGGUGGGAUGCUACUUUCAGAAUC
rnacentral:piRNA from 1 species